GCGAAAAUCCCUGACUCGGAGUUGCCCAAACUGUAAUGGGAUGAGAAAGGCAGAUGCAGUAGUGUAACCUGUCCUCCCAGUUCCUCUGGCACCAAAGUUGGAUGCAUGAAACCAGGCAGCAUGACAAACCUCCCCAAGGAAGACAGGUGCUUUGCAUCAAGAACAAAGCUAUGACACCAGGCUCUCCUGAAAGGGACAUGGGACUGGAGUUCUGCUCUUCAGUGUCACCCAGGCAGAAGACAGCACACGCUGUUCCCUGGAGCUUCAUACCUGCGGAUUAGUUGAAGAGUACAUCCAUGGCCAGCGGCAUCUGCUGAAGACAAUGGCUAGGAGUAAUGACCACUGAAGUUCCAUGGUUUCACAUCUGGAAAAAAAAUGAAGAGCCUGCAGAGAGAAUCUGGCAGAGACAUAACCAGAUGCGAUGGUACUGGAAGAGUUGAAGACUGAGAAGCAGAACCAAGCAGCAGUGCAAGGCCUUUUGCAGAGCACCCAGAAGAGAAGGGCUCCAGCUCAGCAGUCUGUAAGCGCCCUCUGGUGCAAAUACAGCUGGCUGGCUUCAACCCACUCCGCCCCACGGAUUCACCCAGCAGCUGGCCUGAAAGCCUCCAAACAGGACAUCUGUUUGGGUGUUUCGGAGAGCAGAUGGGGGUCACAGCCACCCUGGACCAUGGAGGCAACACGCUGCAAGCGAGAGAGCCUCCUCUGCAGGCUGGACAUCGGCAUGCUGCUG